UUUGGACAGUGGUGCAGUCUUGUCAUCGUCUCGUCUUAGUCAUGAAAAAAAAAGUUUGUUGACGAACAUAUUUCGUCUCGUCUGACGAAAUUAACACUACAUAUAACAGAGGUAGCGUUUUUUCAGGCCACCAGUUCAAUGUCCGUCUGCUCGGCAUCCAUCUUCAUCCGUUCUGCGCUGCACACCGGAAAAAGACACUACAUGACCAUACCGCCACACGUGCCACUGCCUAAACUGAAACUCACUGCUGGUCUUUUUUUUUUUUUUUGUAAUUAGCGGAUAGCGGUGUAUUGUAUGAAAAUAGACAAACAGCUUUCAGAGAGAAUGGGUUAUCAUGUCCACACAUGCAUUUAUUUAUUAUUUACCUGUUUCAUAUAAUCGCAGCAUUUUGCGUCAUACAAUCGCACAGGCUUGAUAUCGCGAUUGCGAUAUCAUUAAUCGUGCAGCACUAGUUCUGAGUAAAGCAAACGCAACCUCUGUAUCUUGUAACAGUUCAAUUCCAUUCCAUUUACAGUAACAACAACAUUUUUACAGAUUUUUGGAACUCGGUGCACACAUAAGGCGCACCGGAUUAUUAGGCGCACGACUUAUUUUUGAGAAAAUUUAAGGCUUUUAGGUGCAACUUAUAGUGUGGAAAAUACUGUACUUAUAAAACAUAUUAUAGCAGCUUUACAGAACAGGAAAUAAUGUGAACGUAAAUAAUGUUAAUGUAAAUAAUGUCCUUUUUUACAACAGUGUAUGGUCCAGUGGAAUUGUGAAACCAAGAGCUCCUGAGGUCAGCAUCAUUUCUGAGAUCAUUACAGACUUAACAGUAAUUCCUUCCAGCUGAAGGCUUUAAAUGUUCACUGAUGAAGACCAGAGCACAAAGCUGACUGACGCAAUGAAUGCAACAUCUUUACAUUGUCCAAACACAGAGUGCGGAUGAAGCAGCUGUACACUGUUCCCUUUGAGAGGAACAGUGAGAGAGUCAAGGAACUACGACGACAAUAUGUCCAGAGAGUUAUGGAAUUGAAGGCCAACCAGGCCCCUCAUGAAUUCAUUUACUGUACUUAGAUGAGGCAGGAUUCAAUCUAUCCAAAAGGCGUCGACGUGGACGAAAUAUAGUUGGAAAAAGGGCCACAGUUGAUGUGCCAGGACAGAGAGGGGCAGACAUUACCAUGUGUGCAGCAAUGGCAAAUGCAGGAUUACUCCUUCACAGAUGUCAGGUUGGACCCUAUAGUACCUAACGCCUCCUUGCCUCUCUCAAUGAUCUCCACCAGCGCCUGGUACCAGAGCAGGAUCAGGAGGGUGAAAACAUGAGGACAUUUGUAAUUACCUGAGACAAAGUUGCUUUCCAUCAUUCGCAAGCAAUAACAGCAUGAUUUGAAGUCCACCCAAGACUGGUAAGUCUCUUCCUUCCACCCUAUUCACCUUUCCUCAACCCCAUAGAGGAGUUCUUUUCUGCAUGGAGGUGGAAGGUUUAUGACCAUCAGCCACAUGACCAGAUGUCCCUCCUUGAAGCCAUGGAUGCUGGCUGCAGGGACAUCACAGUUCAAGAUUGCCAAGGUGGAUCCGACAUACCAAGCGAUUUUAUCCCAGGUGCAUCGCCUUUGGAUGAUAUCAGAUGUGAUGCUGACAAAAACAUGUGGCCUAACCCUGAAGAUUGCAGGGAUUAGAUACAUUACAGUAAUUUUGUGCUAUUUUUAGUUCCCCCCCUUCUUAUCUGGGCUUUUUUCUGUUUUGUUUUU